rnacentral:ncRNA from 1 species
CCGCUUAUCCCGAGGUGCCGCGUCGCGUCCAAGUCCAUCUUGAAUGGGGCCACUUAACCGCAGAGGGUGCCAGGCCCGUAGCGACCGGUGCGCGUCUCGGGAGGAUCUCUCCUCAGAGUCGGGUUGCUUGAGAGUGCAGCUCUAAGUGGGUGGUAAACUCCAUCUAAGGCUAAAUACGACCACGAGAAUGAUAGCGAACAAGUACCGUGAGGAAAAGUUGAAAAAAACUUGAAGAGAGAAUUCAAAAGUACGUGAAACCGUUCAGGGGUAAACCUGAGAAACCCAAAAAAUCGAACCGGGAAAUUCAUAAUCAGCGACUUUGGUUUCGCGUCGGUGAGCGAUGCCACGCGUUGCACCCGCGGCUCGCGCGCCGGCACGCCGCCGUGCGUCCGAUGUCCGGCCGUCGUCGCCGUGCACUUCUCCCCUAGUAGUACGUCGCGACCCGCUGGGUGUCGGUCUACGGCCCGGGUACGGUGGCUGACGCGAGGCCGGUAAAAGGGCCAGCGUCAAACCCCCGGUCGCCCGGCCGAAUGCCCGGCGGUACACGCAAAUAUCAACCCGCAGCUCACUGUGUGUCGAGGCCGUCGCAAACACGCGCCACGAUACACGGACAUCCAACGGUCCUAUCGCCGUUACCGGUCCUGGCCCGCUCCUGGCACGUACGGUUAACCUUAGACAGGCCCGCAAACGCGUCCCCCGCCGCGUUCGCGCGCGCGUGGGAACCGCGAUACCGGUCAGCGAAGCUACUGCUUUGGGUACUCUUAGGACCCGUCUUGAAACACGGACCAAGCAGUCUAACAUGUACGCAAGUCAUUGGGACUUGUAAUGGUAUACCUAAAGGCAAAAUGAAAGAGGUGGUCGGCCCUGGUUGUCGACCAAGGGAGGAUGGGCCGCGUCGUGAUGCGGCUCCGCACUCAAGGGUCUCUCGUUAUCAUCGCGAGAAGAGGCGCACCCAGAACGUACACGUU